GACGAACGCUGGCGGCGUGCUUAACACAUGCAAGUCGAACGGAAAGGCCCUGCUUGCAGGGUACUCGAGUGGCGAACGGGUGAGUAACACGUGGGUGAUCUGCCCUGCACUUCGGGAUAAGCCUGGGAAACUGGGUCUAAUACCGGAUAGGAGCCAUUUUUAGUGUGGUGGUUGGAAAGUUUUUUCGGUGUAGGAUGAGCUCGCGGCCUAUCAGCUUGUUGGUGGGGUAAUGGCCUACCAAGGCGGCGACGGGUAGCCGGCCUGAGAGGGUGGACGGCCACAUUGGGACUGAGAUACGGCCCAGACUCCUACGGGAGGCAGCAGUGGGGAAUAUUGCACAAUGGGCGCAAGCCUGAUGCAGCGACGCCGCGUGGGGGAUGACGGCCUUCGGGUUGGAAACUCCUUUCGCUAGGGACGAAGCUUUUUGUGACGGUACCUAGAGAAGAAGCACCGGCUAACUACGUG
rnacentral:rRNA from 1 species